rnacentral:sRNA from 1 species
AUGGCAGCAGAGACACUCAACUUUGGGCCUGAGUGGCUCAGGGCCCUGUCCGGGGGUGGCAGCGUGGCCUCCCCACCCCCGUCCCCUGCCAUGCCCAAAUACAAGCUGGCUGACUACCGUUAUGGGCGAGAGGAAAUGCUGGCUCUCUACGUCAAGGAGAACAAGGUCCCGGAAGAGCUGCAGGACAAGGAGUUCGCCGCGGUGCUGCAGGACGAGCCACUGCAGCCCCUGGCUCUGGAGCCGCUGACUGAGGAGGAACAGAGAAACUUCUCCCUGUCAGUGAACAGCGUGGCUGUGCUGAGGCUGAUGGGGAAAGGGGCUGGCCCCCCCCUGGCUGGCACCUCCCGAGGCAGGGGCAGCACGCGGAGCCGAGGCCGCGGCCGUGGUGACAGCUGCUUUUACCAAAGAAGCAUCGAAGAAGGAGGCGGAGAAGCUGGUGGCCUCUCUGCAGGACAGCUCCUUGGAGGAGGAGCAGUUC